rnacentral:rRNA from 1 species
GACGAACGCUGGCGGCGUGCUUAACACAUGCAAGUCGAACGGAAAGGCCCUGCUCUUGUGGGGUGCUUGAGUGGCGAACGGGUGAGUAACACGUGUGUAACACGCCCCUGACUUUGGGAUAACUUCAGGAAACUGGGGCUAAUACCGGAUAGGAGAUCCUGCUGCAUGGUGGGGGUUGGAAAGUUUCGGCGGUUGGGGAUGGACUAGCGGCUUAUCCGCUUGUUGGUGGGGUAGUGGCUUACCAAGGUUUUGACGGGUAGCCGGCCUGGGAGGGUGACCAGGCACAAUGGGACUGAGAGACGGCCCAGUCUCCUACGGGAGGCAGCAGGGGGGAAUAUGACACAGUGGGCGGAAGCCUGAGGCAGCAACGCCGCGUGCGGAAUGACGGCCUACGAGUUGUAAACCGCUUUCGCCGGAGACGAAGCGUGAGUGACGGUAAUGGGUAAAGAAGCACCGGCUAACUACGUG